rnacentral:pre_miRNA from 1 species
UGCAAAAUGUGCUAAAUAUGUUUGGUUUAUUGAGAUCUCCACACUAUCUCAAUAAACCAAACAUAUUUAGCAUAUUUUGCA